UCUUAACACUAAACAAUUUAUCGAGGGGGUCCCCAUAACAACCCCGAACGUGUUAGGAGCGCUAAGUUAUGGAAUAAAACACCGGUAGCCGAAACUAAGGCGGCAACAACGGAACAAAUCACCCGGCAAAAGGCUAGGCCUUCCGUUAUUUACCAAGUAUUUAGGUGCAUUAAUUAAAUAGCAAUUAAUUAUGAUGAUAUCAAAUGCCCAUGUUAUCACAUGGACCAGCUGGCACGUGCAACUAGCAACGCUAACAAUUAGUGGUUGAGCAAGCCUAACUUAGCCAAACAAUAUUUGCUAGGAGGGGAGGUGUUUGAGGUUUCAUGGCAAUGCUUGAUGGCCUAUAUGUCAUGUGGUAGGUAGCGGAGAUGUAACGAAGGAAAUGUAACACUAAGCAUAACAAAGCUAGAAAUGGUGUCAAGGUCACAAUCAUCUUGCGUGUGAUUUCUUCAGAGUGGAACUGAUCCUGAUCUUCGUGCACGAACUCACCGGGCU
rnacentral:lncRNA from 1 species